AAUAGGCAGCAUCAUGGAACAGGUGUGUAUCUGGUAGGAUCCCAGUUCUUGGCCCUGCUGCAUUUAAGAUUUUGAUCUGCACCUUGGAAGAAAACAUAAAAUCAUUACAGAUACAAUAAAUGGAGGAUUUGUGAGACACACACUUAGAUGAGGCAGCUGUGAUAAUCGCAGGAGCUCAGCUGCCACAGUCUAGGGGCACAAUCUCACAAUGUCUCCGAAGGAACAGAAGAACCAAGGAUUACAACUGAGAUGGCAAGACCUAUGUAUCCUCAUUAGAUAAUGGAUGCCAGGAGGAAUGCAACUUGACAAGUGAAAGAGGUUACAUUUUCCUCAGCUGCAAAAAAGGUGAAAGCCUUCCUAGUCCAGCUGGAAUCAAGACAAAGAAGUGGAACAAACCUGCAGCGUUUAAGAAGCUCUUACUCUGUGAGAAACACACCUUUCCCCAAUCCAGGGAUCCCUCAGUUCCCACCUGCAAAUGAUUUUCCUUCUAUUGCAAGUGCUCCCAGCCUCACCUCCAUAUAACUCUUCAAUUUACUGGGGCUACUAGAUGUGUGUACAUGUGGAUUUGUGGCAGAGUCUCUUGAAUAGUUUACGUGGGAUUCGUGCAGGGACUUUUUCUUCUAUAGGAAGUACAGAAACACUUUUUGCACAGCUGUUCCCAUGGGGAACCCCUCCCCCCAUGAGUAAGAUUGGCUAAG